rnacentral:tRNA from 2 species
GCGGGCGUGGUCUAGAUGGUUAUGACGUGUGCCUAACACGCACAAGAUCGCGCGUUCGAGUCGCGCCGCCCGUA